rnacentral:rRNA from 1 species
AUUGAACGCUGGCGGCAUGCCUUACACAUGCAAGUCGAACGGCAGCACGGGAGCAAUCCCGGUGGCGAGUGGCGAACGGGUGAGUAAAGUAUCGGAACGUGCCCAGUCGUGGGGGAUAACGUAGCGAAAGUUACGCUAAUACCGCAUACGAUCUAUGGAUGAAAGCGGGGGAUCGCAAGACCUCGCGCGAUUGGAGCGGCCGAUAUCAGAUUAGGUAGUUGGUGGGGUAAAGGCUCACCAAGCCGACGAUCUGUAGCUGGUCUGAGAGGACGACCAGCCACACUGGGACUGAGACACGGCCAAGACUCCUACGGGGGGCAGCAGGGGGGAAUUUUGGACAAUGGGGGAAAGCCUGAUCCAGCCAUGCCGCGUGCAGGAUGAAGGCCUUCGGGUUGUAAACUGUUUUUGUACGGAACAAAAAGUUUUGGCCUAAUAGGCGGAGCUCAUGACGGUACCGUAAGAAUAAGCACCGGCUAACUACGUGCCAGCCGCCCCCGUAA